GGGUUGUGAGGUUAAGCGACUAAGCGUACACGGUGGAUGCCCUGGCAGUCAGAGGCGAUGAAGGACGUGCUAAUCUGCGAUAAGCGUCGGUAAGGUGAUAUGAACCGUUAUAACCGGCGAUUUCCGAAUGGGGAAACCCAGUGUGAUUCGUCACACUAUCAUUAACUGAAUCCAUAGGUUAAUGAGGCGAACCGGGGGAACUGAAACAUCUAAGUACCCCGAGGAAAAGAAAUCAACCGAGAUUCCCCCAGUAGCGGCGAGCGAACGGGGAGGAGCCCAGAGCCUGAAUCAGUGUGUGUGUUAGUGGAAGCGUCUGGAAAGGCGCGCGAUACAGGGUGACAGCCCCGUACACAAAAAUACACAUAUUGUGAGCUCGAUGAGUAGGGCGGGACACGUGGUAUCCUGUCUGAAUAUGGGGGGACCAUCCUCCAAGGCUAAAUACUCCUGACUGACCGAUAGUGAACCAGUACCGUGAGGGAAAGGCGAAAAGAACCCCGGCGAGGGGAGUGAAAAAGAACCUGAAACCGUGUACGUACAAGCAGUGGGAGCACGCUUAGGCGUGUGACUGCGUACCUUUUGUAUAAUGGGUCAGCGACUUAUAUUCUGUAGCAAGGUUAACCGAAUAGGGGAGCCGAAGGGAAACCGAGUCUUAACUGGGCGUUAAGUUGCAGGGUAUAGACCCGAAACCCGGUGAUCUAGCCAUGGGCAGGUUGAAGGUUGGGUAACACUAACUGGAGGACCGAACCGACUAAUGUUGAAAAAUUAGCGGAUGACUUGUGGCUGGGGGUGAAAGGCCAAUCAAACCGGGAGAUAGCUGGUUCUCCCCGAAAGCUAUUUAGGUAGCGCCUCGUGAAUUCAUCUCCGGGGGUAGAGCACUGUUUCGGCAAGGGGGUCAUCCCGACUUACCAACCCGAUGCAAACUGCGAAUACCGGAGAAUGUUAUCACGGGAGACACACGGCGGGUGCUAACGUCCGUCGUGAAGAGGGAAACAACCCAGACCGCCAGCUAAGGUCCCAAAGUCAUGGUUAAGUGGGAAACGAUGUGGGAAGGCCCAGACAGCCAGGAUGUUGGCUUAGAAGCAGCCAUCAUUUAAAGAAAGCGUAAUAGCUCACUGGUCGAGUCGGCCUGCGCGGAAGAUGUAACGGGGCUAAACCAUGCACCGAAGCUGCGGCAGCGACGCUUAUGCGUUGUUGGGUAGGGGAGCGUUCUGUAAGCCUGUGAAGGUGUGCUGUGAGGCAUGCUGGAGGUAUCAGAAGUGCGAAUGCUGACAUAAGUAACGAUAAAGCGGGUGAAAAGCCCGCUCGCCGGAAGACCAAGGGUUCCUGUCCAACGUUAAUCGGGGCAGGGUGAGUCGACCCCUAAGGCGAGGCCGAAAGGCGUAGUCGAUGGGAAACAGGUUAAUAUUCCUGUACUUGGUGUUACUGCGAAGGGGGGACGGAGAAGGCUAUGUUGGCCGGGCGACGGUUGUCCCGGUUUAAGCGUGUAGGCUGGUUUUCCAGGCAAAUCCGGAAAAUCAAGGCUGAGGCGUGAUGACGAGGCACUACGGUGCUGAAGCAACAAAUGCCCUGCUUCCAGGAAAAGCCUCUAAGCAUCAGGUAACAUCAAAUCGUACCCCAAACCGACACAGGUGGUCAGGUAGAGAAUACCAAGGCGCUUGAGAGAACUCGGGUGAAGGAACUAGGCAAAAUGGUGCCGUAACUUCGGGAGAAGGCACGC
rnacentral:rRNA from 1 species